UCUGUUACAGAUAUUUUACUGCUGUCCCACAUGGUAAGAAUUCCCCCAGAAGAUCCAACAGAAGCCACAUAAUCCCAGCCAAUAUCCUUAGAACUCCACAAUGAUUUUAUAAAAGCCGAGUUCAAGGUGUCCUUCUUAGAUUCUUGAAUCAUGACUACAAUUGUUGAUGACUUUUUUAAGUGCUGCACGUUUAGAGGAGUCGUUCAAACCCUUAGUGUUCCAGGAGACAACCUUAAUAAUGACUGGGAGGAGGAAAAGGCAGUUGCACAUCUAAUUUAAGCCAGAAUGAUUCCACAAUCACCGACUAUAGACACUAAAUCUUUAGGCAAAUCCAGGGGAAUUUUAAUAGGGAGAAUAUCUUCAUCAUUGAACAAGACAUUCAGAUCCAUCCCAUUAAUUUCUGGGACUAAUUUAGGGUCAACUUCAGUGUUGGGGACUG
rnacentral:lncRNA from 1 species